GUCGAGUCGGCCUGCGCGGAAGAUGUAACGGGGCUAAGCCAUGCACCGAAGCUGCGGCAGCGACACUAUGUGUUGUUGGGUAGGGGAGCGUUCUGUAAGCCUGCGAAGGUGUGCUGUGAGGCAUGCUGGAGGUAUCAGAAGUGCGAAUGCUGACAUAAGUAACGAUAAAGCGGGUGAAAAGCCCGCUCGCCGGAAGACCAAGGGUUCCUGUCCAACGUUAAUCGGGGCAGGGUGAGUCGACCCCUAAGGCGAGGCCGAAAGGCGUAGUCGAUGGGAAACAGGUUAAUAUUCCUGUACUUGGUGUUACUGCGAAGGGGGGACGGAGAAGGCUAUGUUAGCCGGGCGACGGUUGUCCCGGUUUAAGCAUGUAGGCUGGUUAUCCAGGCAAAUCCGGAUAAUCAAGGCUGAGGUGUGAUGACGAGGCACUACGGUGCUGAAGUAACAAAUGCCCUGCUUCCAGGAAAAGCCUCUAAGCAUCAGGUAACAUCAAAUCGUACCCCAAACCGACACAGGUGGUCAGGUAGAGAAUACCAAGGCGCUUGAGAGAACUCGGGUGAAGGAACUAGGCAAAAUGGUGCCGUAACUUCGGGAGAAGGCACGCUGGUGUGUAGGUGAAGUCCCUGCGGAUGGAGCUGAGACCAGUCGAAGAUACCAGCUGGCUGCAACUGUUUAUUAAAAACACAGCACUGUGCAAACACGAAAGUGGACGUAUACGGUGUGACGCCUGCCCGGUGCCGGAAGGUUAAUUGAUGGGGUUAUCCGUAAGGAGAAGCUCUUGAUCGAAGCCCCGGUAAACGGCGGCCGUAACUAUAACGGUCCUAAGGUAGCGAAAUUCCUUGUCGGGUAAGUUCCGACCUGCACGAAUGGCGUAAUGAUGGCCAGGCUGUCUCCACCCGAGACUCAGUGAAAUUGAACUCGCUGUGAAGAUGCAGUGUACCCGCGGCAAGACGGAAAGACCCCGUGAACCUUUACUAUAGCUUGACACUGAACAUUGAGCCUUGAUGUGUAGGAUAGGUGGGAGGCUUUGAAGCGUGGACGCCAGUCUGCGUGGAGCCAACCUUGAAAUACCACCCUUUAAUGUUUGAUGUUCUAACGUUGGCCCCUUACCGGGGUUGCGGACAGUGUCUGGUGGGUAGUUUGACUGGGGCGGUCUCCUCCCAAAGCGUAACGGAGGAGCACGAAGGUUAGCUAAUCCUGGUCGGACAUCAGGAGGUUAGUGCAAUGGCAUAAGCUAGCUUGACUGCGAGCGUGACGGCGCGAGCAGGUGCGAAAGCAGGUCAUAGUGAUCCGGUGGUUCUGAAUGGAAGGGCCAUCGCUCAACGGAUAAAAGGUACUCCGGGGAUAACAGGCUGAUACCGCCCAAGAGUUCAUAUCGACGGCGGUGUUUGGCACCUCGAUGUCGGCUCAUCACAUCCUGGGGCUGAAGUAGGUCCCAAGGGUAUGGCUGUUCGCCAUUUAAAGUGGUACGCGAGCUGGGUUUAGAACGUCGUGAGACAGUUCGGUCCCUAUCUGCCGUGGGCGCUGGAGAAUUGAGGGGGGCUGCUCCUAGUACGAGAGGACCGGAGUGGACGCAUCACUGGUGUUCGGGUUGUCAUGCCAAUGGCACUGCCCGGUAGCUAAAUGCGGAAGAGAUAAGUGCUGAAAGCAUCUAAGCACGAAACUUGCCCCGAGAUGAGUUCUCCCUGAGACUU
rnacentral:rRNA from 1 species